rnacentral:lncRNA from 1 species
UUUUUUUUUAUUACCCUCUGAUGGGGUUUAUACAGAUGUCUCCGAAAGAUAAGAAAAAUAAAUUACAUCAUUCAAAAACAAAGGUUUCGACAGUUACAGAUCGUUGGUGCGUAUUGGGUUGUUGCAGAUUUUUUUCCAUGUGCGUAUUCCAGUGGCUUCUUCAUAAAAGUGGGAACAUACAUGAUGAAAGGUUUCUUUUUCAAAAGUUGAUGGCAUCUUCUGCUUGCCUUUACUGCACCCGUUUUUUCCGGGAAGUUUAUCCACAAACAUGUGCAGCCUGGUCAUGAUUUCUCUUUAUCCUCCUCCUUUUUCUUUUUCUUACUUUUGCUUUUUUUCUUUUCACUUUUUGCUUUGCUUUUCUGUCUUUUAGAAAAUGGCAGACAAUAAUAACAUAGUUAAUGAUAGAAAAUCCUUGUAGAUCUUCCCAAGAGCAAAAGCAGAGUCUUCCCC